GACGAACGCUGGCGGCGUGCUUAACACAUGCAAGUCGAGCGGUAAGGCCCUUUCGGGGGUACACGAGCGGCGAACGGGUGAGUAACACGUGGGUGACCUGCCCUUAGCUCUGGGAUAAGCCUGGGAAACUGGGUCUAAUACCGGAUAUGACUCCAUGACGCAUGUUGUGGGGGUGGAAAAGCCUUGUGCGGCUAGGGAUGGGCCCG
rnacentral:rRNA from 1 species